rnacentral:rRNA from 1 species
AGAGUUUGAUCCUGGCUCAGGAUGAACGCUAGCUACAGGCUUAACACAUGCAAGUCGAGGGGCAGCAUGGUCUUAGCUUGCUAAGGCCGAUGGCGACCGGCGCACGGGUGAGUAACACGUAUCCAACCUGCCGUCUACUCUUGGACAGCCUUCUGAAAGGAAGAUUAAUACAAGAUGGCAUCAUGAGUCCGCAUGUUCACAUGAUUAAAGGUAUUCCGGUAGACGAUGGGGAUGCGUUCCAUUAGAUAGUAGGCGGGGUAACGGCCCACCUAGUCUUCGAUGGAUAGGGGUUCUGAGAGGAAGGUCCCCCACAUUGGAACUGAGACACGGUCCAAACUCCUACGGGAGGCAGCAGUGAGGAAUAUUGGUCAAUGGGCGAGAGCCUGAACCAGCCAAGUAGCGUGAAGGAUGACUGCCCUAUGGGUUGUAAACUUCUUUUAUAAAGGAAUAAAGUCGGGUAUGGAUACCCGUUUGCAUGUACUUUAUGAAUAAGGAUCGGCUAACUCCGUGCCAGCAGCCGCGGUAAUACGGAGGAUCCGAGCGUUAUCCGGAUUUUUUGGGUUUAAAGGGAGCGUAGAUGGAUGUUUUAAGUCAGUUGUGAAAGUUUGCGGCUCCACCGUAAAAUUGCAGUUGAUACUGGAUAUCUUGAGUGCAGUUGAAGCAGGCGGAAUUCGUGGUGUAGCGGUGAAAUGCUUAGAUAUCACGAAGAACUCCGAUUGCGAAGGCAGCCUGCUAAGCUGCAACUGACAUUGAGGCUCGAAAGUGUGGGUAUCAAACAGGAUUAGAUACCCUGGUAGUCCACACGGUAAACGAUGAAUACUCGCUGUUUGCGAUAUACGGCAAGCGGCCAAGCGAAAGCGUUAAGUAUUCCACCUGGGGAGUACGCCGGCAACGGUGAAACUCAAAGGAAUUGACGGGGGCCCGCACAAGCGGAGGAACAUGUGGUUUAAUUCGAUGAUACGCGAGGAACCUUACCCGGGCUUGAAUUGCAGGUGCAUGAGUCAGAGAUGAUUCUUUCCUUCGGGACUCCUGUGAAGGUGCUGCAUGGUUGUCGUCAGCUCGUGCCGUGAGGUGUCGGCUUAAGUGCCAUAACGAGCGCAACCCUUCUCCCCAGUUGCCAUCGGGUAAUGCCGGGCCCUCUGGGGACACUGCCAUCGUAAGAUGCGAGGAAGGUGGGGAUGACGUCAAAUCAGCACGGCCCUUACGUCCGGGGCCACACACGUGUUACAAUGGGGGGUACAGAGGGCCGCUGUCCGGUGACGGUCGGCCAAUCCCUAAAACCCCUCUCAGUUCGGACUGGAGUCUGCAACCCGAUUCCGCGAAGCUGGAUUCGCUAGUAAUCGCGCAUCAGCCAUGGCGCGGUGAAUACGUUCCCGGGCCUUGCACUCACCGCCCGUCA